CUUCGACGAGUCGAGUUGUUUGGGAAUGCAGCUCUAAAUGGGAGGUAAAUUUCUUCUAAAGCUAAAUACUGGCCAGAGACCGAUAGCGCACAAGUAGAGUGAUCGAAAGAUGAAAAGCACUUUGGAAAGAGAGUUAAAAAGUACGUGAAAUUGUUGAAAGGGAAGCGCUUGCAACCAGACUUGUCCGCAGUUGCUCAGCCGGUCUCCUGACCGGCGUACUCUUCUGCGGCCAGGCCAGCAUCAGUUCGGGCGGUCGGAUAAAGGCCUCGGGA
rnacentral:rRNA from 1 species